CAAAGUCACCUUCAGCCUCUAGUGUGUGUGUGUUGGGGUGUGUCUCCUGAGAAAAACAGAACUUUCAUCUCAGGAAAAAUUUCAGUUUGUCCAGGCUGCUAAGGAAGACGUCUUCAAGAAGGAGGAUGCCUGUCUUGACCGCAUGGUCAACAAAAGAAAAUGACCAGGCAUGGACCCACAAAAGGAAACAGAAUAGAGUCCAUGAAGACUGUCUGAGGAGUUCAUCUACUGACAGUCUAUCUCCAGUCCACUGAAAGUAAGAAGGCCUGUGUGGAUGACCUUGGUAUGUCUUGAUAUGACCUUGAUAUGUUCCUGAUUGUAUUAUUCUUUUUCCACAGCACAUAAAACAUUCUACUGUGGAAAUCAGAAAAAGCAAGAUUAUCUUAGGAGAAACACAAUCUCUCGUCUUAAAGAUGAAAGGACUGCACCUUGAGAGGCCCUUCCUGUUGAGUUGUCAUCUGAACAAAUCAGAGUGGUGGUUGAGGACACCAGAUGUAUUAUUUCCUGCCACAGCAAAUUGGAGGGCUCGCACUGUUCCACCGCCAUCAACUUAGGAAGCAAUUGAAUUUGUUGAUUAUCUUUGCAAGAGGGAGAAGCUUAGCAUCAAUGAAGACAUUGGUAUUUGGUAGGUAUUCAUUUAAUCUC
rnacentral:lncRNA from 10 species